UACAGAGGUCUCAAGCGUUGUUCGGAUUCAUUGGGCGUAAAGGGCGCGUAGGCUGCGGGGCAAGUCGGGUGUGAAAUCUCAGAGCUCAACUCUGAUACUGCACUCGAUACUGCUUUGCUCGAGGACUGGAGAGGAGAUUGGAAUUCACGGUGUAGCAGUGAAAUGCGUAGAUAUCGUGAGGAAGACCAGUGGCGAAGGCGGAUCUCUGGACAGUUCCUGACGCUGAGGCGCGAAGGCCAGGGGAGCAAACGGG
rnacentral:rRNA from 1 species